rnacentral:rRNA from 1 species
GAUGAACGCUGGCGGCGUGCUUAACACAUGCAAGUCGAACGAAGCACUUUAUUUGAUUUCCUUCGGGACUGAUUAUUUUGUGACUGAGUGGCGGACGGGUGAGUAACGCGUGGGUAACCUGCCUUGUACAGGGGGAUAACAGUUGGAAACGGCUGCUAAUACCGCAUAAGCGCACAGCAUCGCAUGAUGCAGUGUGAAAAACUCCGGUGGUAUAAGAUGGACCCGCGUUGGAUUAGCUAGUUGGUGAGGUAACGGCCCACCAAGGCGACGAUCCAUAGCCGACCUGAGAGGGUGACCGGCCACAUUGGGACUGAGACACGGCCCAAACUCCUACGGGAGGCAGCAGUGGGGAAUAUUGCACAAUGGGCGAAAGCCUGAUGCAGCGACGCCGCGUGAGCGAGGAAGUAUUUCGGUAUGUAAAGCUCUAUCAGCAGGGAAGAUAAUGACGGUAC